rnacentral:rRNA from 1 species
GUAAUACUCCAUAGUUCGUGAGUACUGGAAUGUCUUUCGAACGAAAGAUCCGUCGCUUCAGGAUGAGUCUGCGGCUGAUUAGGUAGUUGUUGUGGUAACGGCCCAACAAGCCUAUGAUCGGUACGGGUUGUGGGAGCAAGAGCCCGGAGAUGGAUUCUGAGACACGAAUCCAGGCCCUACGGGGCGCAGCAGGCGCGAAAACUUUACCAUGCGGGCAACCGUGAUAAGGAAACCCCGAGUGCCAGCAUAGGCUGGCUGUCCGCCAGUUUAAAAAACUGGUGAAGAAAGGGCCGGGCAAGACCGGUGCCAGCCGCCGCGGUAAUACCGGCGGCUCGAGUGGUGGCCACUAUUACUGGGCUUAAAGGGUCCGUAGCUUGAUAUGCAAGUCUUUUGAGAAAUCCGCCAGCUUAACUGGCGGGCGUUCAGGGGAAACUGCAUUUCUUGGGACCGGGAGAGGUGAGAGGUACUGCCGGGGUAGGAGUGAAAUCCUGUAAUCCCGGUGGGACCACCUAUAGCGAAGGCAUCUCACCAGAACGGGUCCGACAGUGAGGGACGAAAGCUGGGGGAGCAAACCGGAUUAGAUACCCGGGUAGUCCCAGCUGUAAACGAUGCGCGUUAGGUGU